GCCUGGGUGGCUCAGUCGGAUGAGCGCCGACUUCGGCUCAGGUCACGAUCUCGCGGUCCGUGGGUUCAAGCCCCACAUCGGGCC
rfam:Felis catus isolate Cinnamon breed Abyssinian chromosome D1, whole genome shotgun sequence.